AUUGACACGGCAUUAUAUCCCAAUGGUAUAGAUCGUUGAUGUUGAUCACUGGAUUGUCUGGUCCAGACUUGAUAACUUACAGACUGUCACCAUGUGACUGGAAUAUUGCUGUGUGCAGCGUUAAACAACAAUCAAUUAUCUUGGAUAUACUGAGGUACCCAAGUACUGGCUCCAUCUUGGAUAUACUGAGGUACCAAAGUACUGGCUCCAUCUUGGAUAUACUGAGGUACCCAAGUACUGGCUCCAUCCAUGAUAAACUUGAUUAGCCAAAUAAUGGCUUAACCCUGGAUUACUGGAACACCUGACUAAUUAUAGCCUUGUCUAAGAUGGUGCUAUUUCUUCAUUAAUGUAUACAUCAGAAAUAGUUGUAUUUAGGCUCUAAAUCAGAUCCAGCAAAGUACCUACCGGUAUUCAUGCCAGCCACUUCUGGAGUUUUCAGUAAUAGAAAAUAAACAAGCAACAUUCAAUUUUGACAACAAAAUUUACUUCACAAUGAAUGACCAGCAUUUUUACAAUGAUAUCGUUCUUACCAAUGUUUAAGCAUCCGACUACUAUGACUGGAGUCUAGAGAAAACAGGAAACAUGAACAGUAGAUAGAGAUAUUCAGUGUAGUGGUCUCGCUAGGGCCUGGCUUGUAACAAAAUACACAACUACUGUGGCAGCAACAGCAGCAUCGCAGACCAGCAACUGAGGCGGAGACAAUGCUCAGGGUACGCGACUGCAAACACUUCCUCAAACAGUUUCGUAUGAUUGGCAUUGAAAUCACUUUAUACGAAUAUUGAGAGACAUUCUCAAAUAGGUGAAAAUCUAUCAAAAUUUCGCCUCUGUACUCAAAUUAUUGUUUUGUCACUAUAUUUGAUUGAUU